rnacentral:rRNA from 1 species
GAGUUUGAUCCUGGCUCAGAGCGAACGUUGGCAGUGUGUCUUAAGCAUGCAAGUCGAACGGCAGCAGGCCAUAUAGCAAUAUAUGGUGCUGGCGAGUGGCGAACUGGUGAGUAACACGUAAGAAUCUACCCUCUGGUGGGGGAUAACUCAUGGAAACAUGAGCUAAUACCGCAUGAAGCCGAAAGGUAAAAGGAGAAAUCCGCCAGUGGAUGAGCUUGCGUCCCAUUAGCUAGUUGGCAGGGUAAAGGCCUACCAAGGCUAUGAUGGGUAGCUGGCCUGAGAGGGUGGUCAGCCACACUGGGACUGAGAUACGGCCCAGACUCCUACGGGAGGCAGCAGCUAAGAAUCUUCCUCAAUGGGGGAAACCCUGAAGGAGCGACACUGCGUGCAGGAUGAAGGCCCUUUGGGUUGUAAACUGCUUUUGUAGGGGAGAAAUAACCGCAAGGGAUGAUAGUACCCUACGAAUAAGUCCCGGCUAACUACGUGCCAGCAGCCGCGGUAAAACGUAAGGGGCGAACGUUGCUCGGAAUUACUGGGCGUAAAGGGCCGGUAGGUGGCUUUAUAAGUCAGUUGUCAAAUACCUAUGCUCAACGUAGGAGAGGCGACUGAUACUGUAGAGCUUGAGUAGAGGAAGGGAUGACGGAAUACCCGGUGUAGGGGUGAAAUCUGUUGAUAUCGGGUAGAACACCGAUGGCGAAAGCGGUCAUCUAGCCUCAUACUGACACUCAACGGCGAAAGCCAGGGGAGCGAACGGGAUUAGAUACCCCGGUAGUCCUGGCCAUAAACGAUGCAUGCUAGGUAUUGGCACCGCGUUGGUGAUAGUACCGUAGCUUACGCGUUAAGCAUGCCGCCUGGGGGAGUAUGCUCGGCAGAGUGAAACUCAAAGGAAUUGAC